ACUGUGAGGUCCUGACCUGAGCCAAAGUGGGACGCUCGACCGACUGAGCCACCCAGGCGCCCCUCUAUUAGUUAACCUUCAAAACAACUCUAUGUGGUAGAUUUUAUAAUGCUCAUUGUAAGUCCUCCGGAGUUUGGGAAACUUAGCGAAGUCUGCCUGGGUAGCAAAUGAUUAUGCUGGGAUUGGAACCAAGAUGGUUUGGUUUAGACACCUGGCUUCCCAGUUGUUACAUUACAUACUAUACGAAGGCGAGGCUGCCUAAAUUGACCUAAAUAAAAUAGUGUUUGAUUCAUACGCCAAGUAAUCAGACAUCAUGCCUGUCUUGUGACCUCAGUAGGAAAAUGAAAUCUAUACAUCCAUUGAUGCAUUGUGGAAUAUUUAUGUCAUCAAGGGGCAAAACCGGCCCUUUAUUUGGAAGGACUGGGGGGAAUUCAAGGAUGUAGAAUAUUGUAAAAUAUCAUUGGAAGAGGUGAUCAAAGAAUAUGCAAUCAAAAAAGGUAGCAAAAAUAUUUCAAAGGUAUGUCAGUUAAUAAAAACUUUUUUUUUUAAUUUCAUGUUUGUGGUAUUUGUAGCUUUUUAAAAUUUGUAACUUGUAAGAUGCCAUUUUAAAUCCUAAAUAUUUGCUUUCAUACCUAAAUUUCUAUUUUUAAUUUUUGUAUUCUUUUCCUUAAAAAAUGCCCUGAAAUUUAAAACCUUCACAAGAUCCAACUCUAUGCUUAAUGGUAGGAUUUGCUUUUUGGCCUAAAAAGUAAAUAGAAGUGCCUCCUUCCCCACCCCCACCCCCAUACAGAGACUGAAGUCUGCAUUGUUACAUCACCAAACCCAAACUCCCCCCCCCCCCCACCUCCAGGCUUAGCUAAACCCUUCAUCAUUUCCCUAGUUUGGAGGCCCCAUGCCAAGCAGAAAAGAAAUUGUAAAUAUGUAAUUAUCACAGAACCUUGAUCUUGAAUGAAACCCAGAUCUGACCCUUAGUUUGAGUGAAGAUUCUGCCUGGGAGACAGCUGAGGAAGACUAAAGUGUGUUAUGACAACCAAGGUGUCCGGGUGACUUGCCUAAGUCCCUCGGCCCCGCUAGGUCUAAUUUUUUUCUACAUACAGUGGCAAGAAUUGGACUAGAUGAUAUUUCCAGUGUUUUUCUGUUUUGAAAUGUUUCAUUUUGUAGCUUAGUGGAGGAAAUCAUUGAAACUGACUUAGAAAACAUAACCCUUAACUAAUCUAAGCAGAAAACUCAAAAGUCAUGACAGGUCAGAACUGACAGAUAAACAUCCACUUGGAGUUUGUUGGAGAUGACUACUCUUGAAAAAAGAAAAAGAAACCAUAGUUAUUUUGAAAAUUUCUUGGUACAGGUGCCUGAGCAUACACCCUGACUAAAUAGCAUGUUUACUUGAACCUAGCACUUCUUCCUUGCUGAAGAAAAGACUUACUUGGUUUUGGUGGUAAUACCAUUUCUCUUUGGUUAAUUAUGGCGUUCUCAUUCCCCCUUUCCCCUGAAUUGGUUACAAUGUCUGGGAAGGCUUUUCCUGAGGAAGAGAAUUAUGAAAUGCUUUGCUGUGUCUAGGAAAAGAACGUCCUAAAGGAGCUUCUAUGGGUUUUUGGGGAAGAGAAAGGAAACUCGUCUGAAUAUAUUUAGUCUUCUCCUGCCUUUGAAAGAUUUCUCUACCACUUUUCUUAACAUAGUCUCAGAAAAGACAGAAUUUGCUAAAGAUUGGCAGAUUGCAGACUGCUUUUUUUAGGCAGAAGAGUAGCUAUGAGCCCCGUAAUUGCAUUUCUGUAGUGUCUGCAGACACCAGUUAGCACAAAAGAGGAAUCUUCUAACUAUUCCUUUGAAUGACUAUCUUAUUAUUACUACAUCUCACUUUUAUAUGUUGUUCCCCAAAACCCAUAGGAUUGGGGGAAAAUGUUGAUAAAAUUUGACCUCAAAUAUGUGAAAAGGAAAAAAAGACCCCACGGUCACAUUGUGGAAUCCCUUAAAUCCUAUUGUUGUAAAAUACUUUCUAACAGUCUCAGCCCAUCCUGAGCACUCUCUUAUUCUUAUCAUUUCUAUUAUAAUUAAUCAUAUAAUUUUUAUUGCCUCUUAUCACCUGUUUAUUUACUGCAAGGAGCCACAGGCCAACCAGUCUUUUCCUUUUUUGCUAUUUUCUGUUUUCCAUCACCUCCAGCAAGCCCUGCUUGUCCUAGUUGCUCACCCCUUCACGAACCUCAUUUAACAUCUACUUUUCAUGUGUUAUAAUACAGGUUGAGGUUCAGAUCUUGAGCUCAAGCAUUCUGACACCAAAACAUUGCUUUUACAUCAUCCCCUGAUAACAGCAACUGAAGAUGUUCUAAUACCUGGCUACUCAACGGGUGGUCCAGAAUCUGCAUUUUAACAAGAUCCCGGGGUGAUUCAUGUACGUACUUGAGAAGUCCUGCUCCGGUAGCAUUAAAGCAUUUUGCACAGAGGAGUCAAAGGAUCUACAGUGAUUUUGGGAGAUCAGAUCAGACUUGCUUCUGCCACUGAGGAGGAGAAGGAUUCCAGGGGAGUAGUAGCUCCUGGUUUUCGGAGGGUGUUUUGAGUCCUCCCUAGCUACAAGGCCCCCUUUAAACCGUAUGUAACUAAUGCUGGGAGGCUAGCAGGUGCGAGUGCUCUGACAGCGCUUCAGGUCAAUUACUGAGUCAGUUUCACCCUGUUUACCCAAAGCGUCUUCCGUGGCUCUACCAUUGACCAACAACCAAGAUCCCAGGGAUCAAUUUCUCUGCUGAACUCAUGGCAUUUAUCACGUUUACUCAUUAGGCUUUUAAUCACAGACUACCUUGACAUUUGUAGGCCUUAAUUAAGAGCUAUCAUACCUUGGCAUUUCUGAAAGUGGGUAGCACUGUGCUGUAUAUAAAGUAUGUACCCAGUAAAGUAAUGAAUAAAUGCCCGGUUUUUCGGGACAUGGUUUUCCUCUUCAACAUUAAAAAAAAAUUCUUUUGCCUUGAGAAACUUAUUUGGUUGAUGCUGAGUGAGAACUCACUAAAUUUUUCUUGAAUCCAUCAACAUUUAUUUUAGAUGUUCUAAGCACCACCAUGGACUUUUUCUGUGAUUGGUGUCUGUAUUUUAUUUACCAUAAGGCAGGUUUUUUGCACCUUGGUUACUUUCAUCUUUAAGAAUUUUGGGUCACUAGCAGUUACAACAACAACCAAUUCUCAUACCUCUUCCUGAUCUUAUUUUUUUCAAAUAGCUUUAUCUUCUGACUUUUUUCUUCUUCUUGACAAUUUAACUGUAUUUGGCAAAAACCAAAAUAAACAAAAAACUGAAAAAACUUUCCAUUGAAACUUGUAUCUCGUGUUGCUGCCUUUUAUAUCAAAUGUCAACUUAUUCAGCAGAAUAACUGUAAAUCUUAAUACUUCGAAUCUCUUAAGCAGAUGUUUAUUUACAACAGGAACCUAAUUACAUGAAAUGCAUAACCAUUUGCUUUCAUAUUUGCUCCUAAAUCAUGCUACCAUAAUGAAAAUCUGAACUCUUACCUUCUGCUGUCUGUAAGAAGCUCCAUGGUUUCUGCCCAUGGACACCCUCUGUCCCUUUUCUCUUUAAUAAAUAUACAUGGCCAUCAGUUAAAUCUUCUCCCCAGACUUCAUUUUGAACAGCUGACCCCUGCUAGAAAGCCUUCCAUGGAUCUUCUCUGUCGAUCUCGGGGAUUGAUUACAUGGCCCUUGCUUUCUGUUUGAGGUCAGGCGCUGCAUCAGUAUCCCUGGUUCCUAAGACUCACUGAUGGUUCCUAAGACUCACAGGAUGGGUUUGAUGAUUGCGUGUGUGAAUGAGGCCAGUCCUCUCCCCCAUUUCCCCUUCUUCUCUCAAGCAUGCUAUGGACCCUGGUUCCAUUCAGACUGGGUCUCCUCACACAGCCUUUUGCUUUUAGAUUUUCUAUGUUUGACUGUUCUGCUCCCCCGCAUUUUCCCAUUCUCUACCCAUGUCCUACAACACCUCCACCAUGCUGAAAUAAUGCCUGACCAAAUGCCACUCCCUCUGUUGGGUUUUCAGUUUAUUAUCCCAUCAGAUCUCCUUUCUUUCUCCUCUUUGCAGCCUCUCUAACAGGCCUGGCUUCCACACUCAGGUGGCUUUGGUGGCCAAGCUACUCUUGGCUGUAUUAUGUGCCCCUUAUUAGAAUGAAUGAAAAUUCUUUGAGGGAGAACCUUCUGUCUGAUUUUUCCUGGCACUCAGUGUGUAUUCUCACUGAAAGGUAGUUGCUGUUUAGAAUUUAUUACUUUUAAAGACCAGGGAAACUGCUUAUAAAUCCAAGAUGGGAUGGAUAGAUCUAUAAUAUUAACUAUAGAUAUUUUUUUAUAUAAAUUUAAGUAUUUUUUUUCUAGACUGUUUACCCUUUCACCACCAAGUGUGUCAUCAGUGGUCUUGUCAUUUAUUGCCACCUUGAGGGCACCUUGGGCUUGUGGGAAAUUUUAAACCAUCUGACGCGUGUAAGUUGCUCUUUGCAGUGGAGGAUCCCCUGUCUUUGGUCUUUAGCUUCUGUGAACUUGGGGGAGCUAUAGUCUGUGGGUGUUAUAGCCUGUUGUUUUUCCGUCCGUCACAGACCGCCUUUGGUUCAUUUAUCCUCUUGUGUGUGAAUCUUUUGUAGAGGGCCCAACGUGUUGUGACUAUAGAAGCCAGAAAAAGUCAUAAAGGAAAUCAUAAUACCAUCAGACUCAGGACAGGUUUUUAUUUAUUUAUUUAUUUUUGCACUCCUGCCUUUCAUUUUUAUGAAUUGUGGGUUAUCUCCUGCCAUUGAGAUAGUUGGGGAUGGGACAGUUGAAUGAAGGAGUCUUAGUGCAAUGGAGAGUGUCCGAAAACACCCUUCCACCUGCCCAAGGGAGGACAUCCCAUAUUGCAAAGAUGACUCCUGGCUGCACCUUCUGGAAAGGCUGUAGACAUGGCCCCUAGCUCUCUUCCAGCUGGAUUGUCACCCAUAGACCCCCCUCCUCCAGGGAAAUUUUGGAGCUACCCAUGAGUUCAUAACAUUAGGCGUGGCUAGCAAUGCCCUUUCUGUUCUAUCUAGGGAGAAAGGGAGAUGAAAUAAGAAUUUUAUGUCUUAAUAUUCCGUCGCACUUACAGGAAAUGGUUUUAAUUUGAUGGAUGUUGGUUAGCUUUCAAAACUGCUGAAAACCUUUUAUCUUUCAAGAUUUUGACGAUGAAGUUGGUGAGGAUGUCUGUGGCAAUUAUAUAAUCGGUUAUGCAGCACUGUGCAAAGCAUUUUGUCAAACUCAGAGCGUCUCCUGUUACCAGUUUAUUAAUGAAAUACUUAUCUUCAGGGCCAAGGAAGGAAUCUAGUUUCCUAAUAGUUUCAUAUUUACUUGUUGGAUAACUGUUGGAGCUACAGUUAACUCUGUUCCGAGCUCACUGGCUUUGUUACUCCUCAAGGUAUAACUCCUCUUAAAAGCAAUUGACUAAAUGUUAGAUGCCUCUGUUAGUCAUCUUCUGCUAAUCAAAACAGUUUUCUUCUUCUCUCUCUCUUUUCAUAGAGAGUUCUGUAAUUCGUCUUUAAGUUCUGGGAAGGGAAUCUUCACUGUGAGCUCUGAUACAAAGUACUGUUUUGAUUACAAUCAGUACUUUAAUAAAACGUAUGUGAAAGUGAGUUAUGGUGAGCAUUUGAUAAUGUAUAUAAUUGUCAAAUCACUGUGUUGUACACCUGAAACUAAUACAAUAUUGUAUGUUGAGUAUACGUCAGUUAAUAAUAAUAAUAAUAAUAAUAAUAAUAAAGGAGUAUUUAGAGGGAGCCCCUGAAUGUCUGAUUGAUCCUGUGUCCCUGAUCUUAAAUCUACUUCCCUUGUUACACAAAGUGACCAUAGAGCCCACCUUGGCACUCGUGCUCUCUGAAUUGAAGUGUCUUUGAAGUUAGGGGAAAAUGAAGGGAUCAGAGUGAGGAGCUGAUGAUUAUGCUGGUUGAAAGCCACUCGUGUGCCCUUUAUCAGCAGUGACCAGGGCUGCGGUAGAACGUCCUGAUUGUAGUGAACAUUUCUGCCCACAGCCCUCCCUGGUGCAUAUCUCUUGGAAACACGUAAAAUGUCUUUUGUUGUUCAAAUAGCUGUUAAAUGAAGAUGAAAAGCACAACAAACAUCGUAAAAAUAGUCAUUUGCCAGCUUGUCCAGGCAGAUGAAAAACUAGUGUCAGGAAAACAGAAACGAGCAGUGAUUUGAAUAACUUUAUGAGUUCUGAGACUUAUGGGGGAAAGAGUACCAGUGGGGAAAAGAGUCUAGUCCGAUAACUUUGAAGAAAACAUAUUGACCAUGUCUGGUUAUAACAAUUUUUAAAUAAUCCCUUAUGUUAAUAGAGUGCUUUAUUAUCUGUAAAAGAGUUUCACCUGGAUAUCAUAUUUCAUUUUGGAAACGACCCUCUGAGUGGGUAUAAUUACCCUGUUUUACCAAUAAUAUGGAAAUGGAAGCCCAGAAAGAUGAAACCAUCUAAGGCAUUGUAAAGCAUCUCAAGUGUGUGUUUUUGUCAUUUUACCAUCUUUUAGUCAUCGUACCCCUGGCUGCUUAAUUUCUAAGAAAAUGUGAGACAAAUGUUAUGGUCCUGUCAUGUUUUUAUAUUUCAGUAGCCAAAUUGAGGAAGACGGGAUCAUAGGAUUGACCUCAGAAGCCUUGUUCUUUGCUUCAAAAAUUGGAAACCAUAUUUGGGACUAGCGAAUACCCUCCUUCAAGAUACACUUCUUGGAGGGUUUUGUCACCGGUCUUCCUAGAGCUGAGCUGUAUAAUGAGUUAUUUUUCUCGUUCUCCUUUUCCUGUAGGGCAGUUUUUCUCUUAAAUACCAUGCGGUCUGCCUUCCCGAGGGUUAUAUCACCAUUGCCAGUAGGCACAUGUCGCCAUUUAUAAAAGACUAUGGCUUUGCCACAGUCUUGUAGUUGUGCUCGUCUUCAGAGUUUCGGGAUGCUUCCCAUAAUCACACAGGAAGGGUGUGUCUUCACCAUAUAGGCAUAGAGGUCAAGUAUUGUCCUUGGCUUCCUUUCCCAGAACUUCUUAGAGAUGAAUGUCUGAGUAAAGAUAUGGAGAAGAACAAGAUUGUUUUGACUGGCAGAACACAAGAAACACAGGCAUCCAGUAUUACUGGAAAUCCUAAAUUACUUUUGUACCCUAAAACCAAGAGCACACUGUAUACGCUGUAUGUGAGCCAACUUGACAAUAAACUAUUUAAAUAAAUAAAUACAUAAAUAAAAGGAAAAAAAUAAAUUACUUUUGUAUACAGUAGCUUCUAUCUUGAGGAGUAGCAAAGCCGACUUAUUCGACUGACAUUUUCAAAGGAUAUGGUAAAGAAUGACCUUGAUUGGCAGAAACUGCACUCAGCUUGCGAGCUACACAAAGCUAACGGACACUCCUGCUUGCCUGCAGUUUGUUCUAGAAAUGUCAUUUCCCCCACAACAUAAAAAGAGAAGUUGAGUCAUGAUGUCGUUUUACUUAAUUUUGGUUAAGGAAACAAAUCAAAUCAGCUCCCACACUAUAGUAUGGGCUUCUUUCUCUUCUUUUCUACCAUUCUUCUUUUUUUUUUUUUUCCAGUGGACUUGGGACGAAGGAUUAUUCUGAUCUUUCCAUCUCUGGGAAAAUUUCCUAGAAAAGAUGAUCUUCCUUAAGUAAUGACUGGGUUCAUGAAUUUAUAUUAGAAUCAGAUCUUCUUCAAAUUAGAAUGGAUUUCAGUGUUACUUUUCAUGUACUUCUUGUUUAAAAGGGAUUUCAUGGUAGAUCUUCUAGAAUACUACCUAUUAUAUAAUCCUUUUAAAAAUGGUAAUUUGUGCAUACCGAUUCCUGUUAAGGCAGGUGUAACUGUAUUUAGAAGAAUAUUCAAAUUUUGAACAUCUCGGAGGUGAUCCUUCUUCAGAUCUGGUAAGAUAAUACUCAGUAUAUAUCUGUUAGAUGGAAUAAGAAAGAAAAUAUACCACAGAGACAGGGAAGAGAAGUUAAGCUGUAGGACUAUAUUGACUUAAAACUUAUUUUUUUGUGUGUUCUAUCUAUUUAGCUUUGUGAUUAUCUGAAGGAAAAACUUGUCCACAACCUCGAACUCUGAUCUAGGAGCUAUUUAUCUUGUUAACUCCUUUGGUAGUGCAUCUGAAAGGAGAUAACACUUUCUUAUGUUGGACUUUUUGAAGUCAUUAUUCAUUUUGCCUUGUGGAGUCAAAGCCCUUUAGAAAUUCAGCUUUCUCAGGAAACCUGCCCCUUAGGUCUUCAAACAGAUCUCCCUUCAAACUCAUGCCCUUGGUGAUUGACCAAGGAUUUCCACCCUUUAAAAACAUAGGAAUAUGUAAAAUCCCUACUAAAAAAUUAACCUAAAAUGACCUUCCAGGGGUGCCUGGCUCAUUUGGCUCAGAUGACUCAGUUGAUUGAGGGUCUGACUCUUGAUUUUGGC